rnacentral:rRNA from 1 species
GAUGAACGCUGGCGGCGUGCCUAAUACAUGCAAGUCGAGCGAACAGACGAGGAGCUUGCUCCUCUGACGUUAGCGGCGGACGGGUGAGUAACACGUGGAUAACCUACCUAUAAGACUGGGAUAACUUCGGGAAACCGGAGCUAAUACCGGAUCAUAUAUUGAACCGCAUGGUUCAAUAGUGAAAGACGGUUUUGCUGUCACUUAUAGAUGGAUCCGCGCCGCAUUAGCUAGUUGGUAAGGUAACGGCUUACCAAGCCAACGAUGCGUAGCCGACCUGGGAGGGUGAUCGGCCACACUGGAACUGAGACACGGUCCAGACUCCUACGGGAGGCAGCAGUAGGGAAUCUUCCGCAAUGGGCGAAAGCCUGACGGAGCAACGCCGCGUGAGUGAUGAAGGUCUUCGGAUCGUAAAACUCUGUUAUUAGGGAAGAACAAAUGUGUAAGUAACUAUGCACGUCUUGACGGUACCUAAUCAGAAAGCCACGGCUAACUACGUGCCAGCAGCCGCCGUAA